rnacentral:rRNA from 1 species
GUGGGGAAUAUUGGGCAAUGGACGCAAGUCUGACCCAGCAACGCCGCGUGAAGGAAGAAGGCUUUCGGGUUGUAAACUUCUUUUGUCAGGGAAGAGUAGAAGACGGUACCUGACGAAUAAGCCACGGCUAACUACGUGCCAGCAGCCGCGGUAAUACGUAGGUGGCAAGCGUUGUCCGGAUUUACUGGGUGUAAAGGGCGUGCAGCCGGGCCGGCAAGUCAGAUGUGAAAUCUGGAGGCUUAACCUCCAAACUGCAUUUGAAACUGUAGGUCUUGAGUACCGGAGAGGUUAUCGGAAUUCCUUGUGUAGCGGUGAAAUGCGUAGAUAUAAGGAAGAACACCAGUGGCGAAGGCGGAUAACUGGACGGCAACUGACGGUGAGGCGCGAAAGCGUGGGGAGCAAACAGG